rnacentral:sRNA from 1 species
CAUAGGCCUGCUGGGGGCAUAUGAAAUGAAUAUGCGAGUCAAACCCACCGGCCGUGAUAAUCUUGCCCUCGCCAGCAAUGACAUCCGUACAGCUCCCCACGAUCAUCCCGUCGGUAACGCCAUCCAUGACAUCCGGGUUUCCGGCCUUGCCAAUGCCCACAAUCACACCGUCCUUCACGCCGAUAUCCGCCUUGUAAAUACCCGUAUAAUCGACAAUGAGGGCGUUCACAAUAACAACAUCGAGGCUCUCCGCAUCCGGACACCCGGACAUCUGGCCCAUACCCUCGCG